rnacentral:rRNA from 1 species
GACGAACGCUGGCGGCGUGCUUAACACAUGCAAGUCGAACGGAAAGGCCCUGCUUUUGUGGGGUGCUCGAGUGGCGAACGGGUGAGUAACACGUGAGUAACCUGCCCUUGACUUUGGGAUAACUUCAGGAAACUGGGGCUAAUACCGGAUAGGAGCUCCUGCUGCAUGGUGGGGGUUGGAAAGUUUCGGCGGUUGGGGAUGGACUCGCGGCUUAUCAGCUUGUUGGUGGGGUAGUGGCUUACCAAGGCUUUGACGGGUAGCCGGCCUGAGAGGGUGACCGGCCACAUUGGGACUGAGGUACGGCCAAGACUCCAACGGGAGGCAGCAGUGGGGAAUAUGGAACAAUAGGCGGAAGCCUGAUGCAGCAACGACGCGUGCGGGAUGACGGCCUUCGGGUUGUAAACCGAUUUGGCCUGUGACGAAGCGUGAGUGACGGUAAUGGGUAAAGAAGCACCGGCUAACUACGUG